AUUGAACGCUGGCGGCAUGCCUUACACAUGCAAGUCGAACGGUAACGGGUCUUCGGACGCUGACGAGUGGCGAACGGGUGAGUAAUACAUCGGAACGUGCCCAGUCGUGGGGGAUAACUACUCGAAAGAGUAGCUAAUACCGCAUACGAUCUGAGGAUGAAAGCGGGGGACCUUCGGGCCUCGCGCGAUUGGAGCGGCCGAUGGCAGAUUAGGUAGUUGGUGGGAUAAAAGCUUACCAAGCCGACGAUCUGUAGCUGGUCUGAGAGGACGACCAGCCACACUGGGACUGAGACACGGCCCAGACUCCUACGGGAGGCAGCAGUGGGGAAUUUUGGACAAUGGGCGAAAGCCUGAUCCAGCAAUGCCGCGUGCAGGAUGAAGGCCUUCGGGUUGUAAACUGCUUUUGUACGGAACGAAAAAGCUUCUCCUAAUACGAGAGGCCCAUGACGGUACCGUAAGAAUAAGCACCGGCUAACUACGUGCCAGCCGCCGCAGUAAGAC
rnacentral:rRNA from 1 species